GAAAACAUCAAGAUACCGUCGCGUUCCAGUUGCUUCAGCUGCUUGGUAGAUAAAAACUCUGCACCACUUUCCUCUUCGACGGAAGAGAAAUGCACUGACUUGCUAAAACAAUUAAUAAGAACGUGGUUGUACUCUAACCAGUUCAUACCCAAAAUCACAUCCAUACCGCUCAAAGGUAGACAAACUAAAUCCAUUUCAAAAUCACGACCAAACAUAAACAAAGGACAUUUCAAACAUACGAGAGAAGUAGUCACCGAACCCUUAGCUGGAGUUUCGACAACCAUCUCUCCAUUCAUAUCAGACAAAUCAAGACCCAAAGCAGAAACA
rnacentral:lncRNA from 1 species